AUGCAGAGUUUCUUCCUAAGCAGUGUUACCCAGAUGCUGCCUUUGCACCAGGCCCUAAUUAGCUGCAAGCUGGAAUUUCAUCCCCAGAGAUCCACCCCCUCGAUUCUCAAAGCUCCAGCACCUUUUUACUCAAGCAUCUUCAUAAAGCUAGAAAAUGCACUGACUGACUUCACAAGCUCACAUUGCUGUGCACAAUGCCCUGUGUGAAAUAAAGCCCUGGAAUUACAGUGGAAGUUUGUUCUG
rnacentral:lncRNA from 1 species